UACAGAGGGGGCAAGCGUUGUUCGGAAUUACUGGGCGUAAAGGGCGCGUAGGCGGCCUGUUAAGUCGAACGUGAAAUCCCCGGGCUCAACCCGGGAACUGCGUCCGAUACUGGCAGGCUUGAAUCCGGGAGAGGGAUGCGGAAUUCCAGGUGUAGCGGUGAAAUGCGUAGAUAUCUGGAGGAACACCUGCGGUGUAGACGGGUUGCUAGGCUGACACUGACGCUGAGGCGCGAAAGCCAGGGGAGCAAACGGG
rnacentral:rRNA from 1 species